AAUGGGGCGAGAAUUAUUUAUCCGAUGCUUAAAAGAGAUUAAAACGCCCUAGGCUUUUUAAUCUAGGCUCCUUCUGGAAGUUUUGAUUAAAACUUCCAGAAGAAAUGACACGGAUAUUUAUGUCGCAGUGUAGCUUGUCACCAAAUCUGUUUACAAGCUUUCAACCAAUUUUACUUACUACAUUUUGCAAUAAGCUUAACUGCUUUUGUUGUAAGUGUAAGUGGUACAAAAGGUGGACAGAGGACAAAGGUUUGAUUCUGGCGACUGGAGACGUUGGAGAGGUUUUGCAUCUUGACUCAUGAAUGUUAGCUCAAGGCAGCUAACCACUGUGGUUGGAGAGGUUUCUGAUUUUGAGCCGGUUUUGAGCGGAACUGAAUCUAGAGCCAUGCUAAGAUUAGUGAUGAUGUUUAAUGUGUCUGCUUUACAGCUGCCCCCAUCAUUGUUUGGCAUGUUAGCAUACAAAUGUUUGCCAACUAAACACAAAGUAUAGCUGAGACUGAUGGGAAUGUUAAUACUUUUACAAAUAGAACAAAAUCAGUCCAAACAAUGUUCAGUCCAAACUAGAAACAUCUGCUUCUUGGUGAAUCUGGAGGAAAUCACUAAGAAGAUACAAAACUUACCCUACCGCCAUAAUGUUAGCAUAGUUAAAGAAUAAACACCUCAUUUUGACAAUAUACUCUGUAUACUGCAAUGCAGAUGCUCUAGGGGAACAAACGCCAACAAAAGCAUUGAUAUCUCAGAUGUUAUUAAUUUAAUAAGAAGAUGCUGACAUAAUUUAAUUAAGGCGUUUUUCUUUUGAUAUAAAACACAGUUUCAAGGAGACAAAGUCAGAUGUGAACUUAGUUAAAGAAAAAGAAGAGACAAUAAGACAGUCAG